GGUGGGGAUAAACAAGAGUGCAGAGAGACAGCGCACUCUCAUAUACCUAUUUAUUUAUUUUUUGGAAACAACAGAUGCAAUGACAGAUCUGCCGGGAAAAAUAGAAUUCCGCUGACACAUGACGAACGCCGUUCUCGUAAAGCUAUUUUUGAAGUGAGAACGGCGAGCUACUUUGGUAAAGUCCACGGUUAAGCCGGCUGAGGCGUUAGAGUGCAACCCCAUAUAUUAGAUUUCUAGAGCGGAUCUUUUGCCUGAGGCCAUUAACGAAAUACAGAAGCUGACAAGAGGUUCAAAAAACCAUCAACCAGCUGAAUAAAAUUAACAAUAAACUUGAAUUCCAAAGAACGAAAUUAAAGACGGAACUCAUGGAUCAUAGAGUUUGCCUUGAAAACGAAAUCGGGUAAAGUUGUAAUGACUCUGACAUAGAAAUUAUGGACAUAGGAUCGGACGACGAAGAUCUACAAACAAAAAGCCUAAGUACCUAUCGACCUUUUUUAAAUAUGCGAUUUGCACAGGGAAAUAUUGGGCGAUGUAGUGUCUUCAAUAAACAACUAAAUUUUAUUAAAUUUAUUAUAGGUACA